rnacentral:rRNA from 1 species
AGUGAACGCUGGCGGUAGGCUUAACACAUGCAAGUCGAACGGCAGCACAGUGAUAGCUUGCUGUGACCGGGUGGCGGUGGGGUACGGGAGAGGAAAACAACCGAAUCUACUUUUUGGUGGGGGUUAAGGUAGGGGGACCUACUCUAAUACCGCAGACCCUCUUGGGGGGAAAGGAUUGGAUAUUUUGACCUGGUGCGAAUGAACGAGCGGCUGUCGGGUUAGUUAGUGGGCGGGUGAAAUGCCCACCCGGGCGACGAUCGGUAGCUGGUCUGGGAGGAUGGUCAGCCACACUGGAACUGAGCCACGGUCCAUGCUCCUACGGGACGCCGCAGUGGGGAAUGUUGGACAAUGGGCGCAAGCCUGAUCCAGCCAUCCCGCGUGGGUGAAGAAGGCCUUCCGGUUGUAAAGCCCUUUUGUUGGGAGAGAAAAGCAGCAGGUUAAUACCCCGCUGUUCUGACGGUACCCAAAGAAUAAGCACCGGCUAACUUCGUG